UACGUAGGGUGCAAGCAUUAUCCGGAGUGACUGGGCGUAAAGAGUUGCGUAGGCGGUUUAAUAAGUGAAUAGUGAAACCUGGUGGCUCAACCAUACAGACUAUUAUUCAAACUGUUAAACUCGAGAAUGGUAGAGGUAACUGGAAUUUCUAGUGUAGGAGUGAAAUCCGUAGAUAUUAGAAGGAACACCGAUGGCGUAGGCAGGUUACUGGGCCAUUUCUGACGCUAAGGCACGAAAGCGUGGGGAGCGAACCGG
rnacentral:rRNA from 1 species